rnacentral:rRNA from 1 species
GAUGGGGGGACGCAGUAGGAUAGGCGAAGCGUGCUGUUGGAGUGCACGUCCAAGCAGUGAGAUUGAGUGUUAGGCAAAUCCGGCACUCUUAAGAUUGAGCUGUGAUGGGGAGAGGAACUUGUUCCUCGAGUCGUUGAUUUCACACUGCCGAGAAAAGCCUCUAGCUAGAAUAACGGUGCCCGUACCGCAAACCGACACAGGUAGUCAAGAUGAGAAUUCUAAGGUGAGCGAGCGAACUCUCGUUAAGGAACUCGGCAAAAUGACCCCGUAACUUCGGGAGAAGGGGUGCUCUUUGAGGUUCACGCUUCGAAGAGCCGCAGUGAAUAGGCCCAAGCGACUGUUUAUCAAAAACACAGGUCUCUGCUAAACCGUAAGGUGACGUAUAGGGGCUGACGCCUGCCCGGUGCUGGAAGGUUAAGAGGAGUGGUUAGCG